AUUGAACGCUGGCGGCAGGCCUAACACAUGCAAGUCGAACGAGUGGCGGACGGGUGAGUAAUGUCUGGGAAACUGCCCGAUGGAGGGGGAUAACUACUGGAAACGGUCGCUAAUACCGCCUACCAUCGGAUGUGCCCAGAUGGGAUUAGCUAGUAGGUGGGGUAACGGCUCACCUAGGCGACGAUCCCUCGCUGGUCUGAGAGGAGGACCAGCAAAACUGGAACGGAGACACGGUCAAGACUCCUACGGGAGGAAGCAGUGGGGAAUAUUGCACAAGGGGCGCAAGCCGGAUGCAGCCAUGCCGCGGGUAUGAAGAAGGCCUUCGGGUUGUAAAGUACUUUCAGCGAGGAGGCGUUACUCGCAGAAGAAGCACCGGCUAACUCCGUGCCAGCAGCCGCGGUAAUUC
rnacentral:rRNA from 1 species